rnacentral:rRNA from 1 species
AUUGAACGCUGGCGGAAUGCUUUACACAUGCAAGUCGAGCGGCAGCGCGGCCUUCGGGCUGGCGGCGAGCGGCGAACGGGUGAGUAAUGCAUCGGAACAUGCCCAGUCGUGGGGGAUAACACUUCGAAAGAAGUGCUAAUACCGCAUACGUCCUGAGGGGGAAAGCGGGGGAUCGCAAGACCUCGCGCGAUUGGAGUGGCCGAUGUCAGAUUAGCUAGUUGGUGGGGUAAAGGCCUACCAAGGCGACGAUCUGUAGCUGGUCUGAGAGGAUGAUCAGCCACACUGGGACUGAGACACGGCCCAGACUCCUACGGGAGGCAGCAGUGGGGAAUUUUGGACAAUGGGGGCAACCCUGAUCCAGCCAUUCCGCGUGAGUGAAGAAGGCCUUCGGGUUGUAAAGCUCUUUCGGCGGGGACGAAACGGUGGGCUCUAACAUAGUCCGCUAAUGACGGUACCUGAAGAAGAAGCACCGGCUAACUACGUG